GACGAACGCUGGCGGCGUGCUUAACACAUGCAAGUCGAACGGGAUUUAGUAAACGGAGGCCUCGGUGGAAGAUUACUAAUGAGAGUGGCGAACGGGUGAGUAACGCGUGAGCAACCUGCCUAUGACAGUGGGAUAGCCUCGGGAAACCGGGAUUAAUACCGCAUAAAAUCGUAGAAACACAUGUUUCAACGGUCAAAGAUUUAUCGGUCAUAGAUGGGCUCGCGUCUGAUUAGCUAGUUGGUGAGAUAACAGCCCACCAAGGCGACGAUCAGUAGCCGGUGUGAGAGGGUGGACGGCCACAUUGGAACUCAGACACGGUCCAAACUCCCACGGGGGGCGGCAGUGGGGAAUAUUGCACAAAGGGGGAAACACUCAAGCCGCGCCGCCGCGGGAAAAAAAAAGGUUUUCGUAUAGAAAAGUGCUGGCCUAUGGGGAGAUAAUGAGAAUCCCAUAGAAAAAAACUCCCGAUAAAUACG
rnacentral:rRNA from 1 species